UACGUAGGGUGCGAGCGUUGUCCGGAAUUAUUGGGCGUAAAGGGCUCGUAGGCGGUUUGUCACGUCGGGAGUGAAAACUCGGGGCUUAACUCCGAGCCUGCUUCCGAUACGGGCUGACUAGAGGUAUGCAGGGGAGAACGGAAUUCCUGGUGUAGCGGUGAAAUGCGCAGAUAUCAGGAGGAACACCGGUGGCGAAGGCGGUUCUCUGGGCAUUACCUGACGCUGAGACGCAAAAGCGUGGGGAGCAAACAGG
rnacentral:rRNA from 1 species